GCGGCGGGCGCGCCGUGAGGGGCUGCAGCCGGGCGCUGGGGCAGCGGGGCCCUGCCAUGGCGUGCUCGCACAGCGUGGUGUUCCUCCUGGACACGGCCAGCCCGGGCCGCCGCACGCGGCUCCGGCGCGGCGCCCUGCGCCUCCUCACGCACCUGGGCUGCCGCUUCGGCCUGACCCGCCUCCGCUGGGCCUUCAGGUUCUUCGACUCGCUCGGGGGACGCGGCGGAGCUUCGCGCGGCGGCGGCUUCCGCCCGCCGGGGCCCCACGCCUGGGCCCGCUUCGAGGAGGAGCUGGCGGAGCGGCUGGAGGCUCGGGGACCCGCCGCCGUCCUGCCGGGCCCUGCGUCCCGCGCCGCCCUCACCCACCACGGCCUCAAAGAGACGCUCCUCGACUUCCAGUGGGACCGCCCAGAGAUCGCGUCCCCCACCAAGCCGCUCCGCAGGAGCCGGAGGACGGGGUCGGCCGCCGGAGAGCCCCCCGAGAGCCAGGCGCCUCCCGAGGGUUUUGUUAACGCCAUCUUCCUCUUCUCCCCCUGCCCCUACUCGGGGAAGGAGCUGCGGUGGUUUGUAUCGGGGAACGAUGCCCCUUCCUCCCCUCGCGAGCCGCCCACAGCCCAGGAGCUGGCGGAGAAACUCCUACCCAAGAGCGUCCACGAGUUGAUUGUGAACCAGAAAAUCACGGUCUUCUGGGUGGACACUGCCGAGUGUUCUCAGCUGACGGAAUCCCCAGAUCAUGUUGGAUACUGGACAAUGUUUGAACUCAUCUGUCAGAUGGGAGGCACCAUUUUGCCAUCUGAAACUUUAGUACAGUGUUGGAGUCACCAGCAGGCAGAUCUUGCUCGUGGCUUUCCUGGAGACUCGGGCUCCCCAGUGCCACAGGCUGUGCCUUGGACCACACUCCUGCCGUUGGAUGCUACUUUGAACUUCUUGCUCUCCAAACCCUCUGUAUUUCAGGCAGUUUUCCCCCAGCAAGAAGGAACAUUGUUCCUCAGCAUGCCUGGAGGAAAGAAACAAGAAAGCUGUGCUGUGAUCCUGGAACCCCUUGCCAUGAGCCAAAAACAACUGCAGUGUCCAGUCAACAUCUUCUUGAAAGGCAGCUUGACAGAUUGGAGCUUAGUGCAGGCUGGCUGCUUCCUCACAGAGAGCUGGAUACUGCAGAGCUCGCGGGCUGAGCAGGCAGAAGAUAACAGGUCACUGUUUCAUCAGCUGCUAAGGACUCUAGUGACUGAAGAACUGCACAUGGUUGCUGAAAUGUCUCUAUGUGAAACUUGGUGCCCCUGCACUGCAGUUCUAUCUCCACUUUCUGCAAGUGCUGCAGUUCUGACUGUAGUUGGUGCUGAGAAGGCUGCUGCAGCUCAGCUCAGCAGCCUGGAAGGAGCUAUAGUGGGGAGCUCUUCCCAGGAUCACCCUCUUCACCUCCCAGACAUUGUGAACAGCGUGUUGACUAAAGUCCACUCAUUGAGGGAAGAUUCUCUGCCCAAUAUGGAAGAAGAAACUCCUGUCCCAGAGUGGGUCCAACGGGAACUGUCCCAGGCAGGGCCCUGGCAUCCCUCGGUGCUUGAGGCGUGGUACCCAGCAUCAAACGCUUGUGGAGCCAGCACAGAUCUGAUGGAGACCUUCAGGCUCCUGCAUGUUCCUUCUGCUAAUCAGAAGGAUGAUACAGACCAAGCUGAAGCAGAACUCUCAGAAAGUCUGUCUGAGCUGUACCAGAGAAAAUUCAGUGAAACAUCUACUGCAGCUGGACCAGGAAAUAACAAAAAGAGACGUGGGGUUCCCCGAACUCCAGUCAGGCAGAAGAUGAAGACCAUGUCCAGAUCCCUGCAGAUGCUCAACGUAGCAAGACUGAAUGUAAAAGCUCAGAAGUUUCAACCUGAUGGUGCACCACUAACAGUGAAUGAAAAGGUGCCACAGAAGCUUUCAGCAAAGAGAUUGGAUGAAAAGGUGGAAGAAAAGGACAAGGCACUUAAAAUAUCGAUAGAUCUCAAAACCGAGGAGGAACUGCAGUCGCAUUUAACUGCGAGUUACCAGAAGGCUGUGGCUGAGGGGGUUCUUUCAUCUGUAUGUGCCCAGAGUAUGAUCAUGGCCAUAAAAAGGUUCUUGAAAGUACGAGAUGCCAAAGAGAAGGAGGUGGCCUGUUUGGAAAGAGUCAGAAACCAUCUCCUGAAGACCAGCAAAAUGCUCAGACAACAGCAUGGCUUACAGAAGGAGACCAAAGUCAGAGAGUGCCGACUUCAGGUGUUUUUGCGCCUGGAGUUGUGUCUUCAGUGCCCUUCACUGCAGAGCAACACGGACGAAACAGAGCAGCUCUUGGAAGAGAUGACAGAUAUGCUGCGCAUUUUGUGUCUGACUGAAGACCCAGGGUAUCUUACGAAGUUUCUAGAGGAAAUACUAGAAUUGUAUAUGAAUUCUAUACCAAAGACCCUUGGAGAUAUUUACUAUGGUCUCGGUACACAAAUACCCCCGAAGCUGGCCUCUGUUCUGCCUUCAGACUUCUUCAGUGAUGACUCCAUGACGCUGGAGAGCAAAUCUCCAGGCCUUCCACCAUCAUUAUCAUCUGCUUUAACCCCCAGCACUGUUUGCCUACGCAGUGAGGGUGAUCAGCUGGAGGAACUGCGCACCAGGUCUGCCAAAAAGAGAAGGAGCAACGUAUUAGCCAGACACAGGAGCAUGACAGAAGCACCACAGAACCUGCGUCAAAUUGAGAUUCCCAAGAUAACCAAGAAUCCCAUCAGGAAGGAGAGCUUGCGUUCCUACCUCGUCUCUGAGAAGUCCCAACAGAUGCCUCUGUUGCAGAAAGAAGCAGUGCAAGAGGUUACAAAAGUAAGGAGGAACCUCUUCAAUGAAGAGAUACUUUCACCAUCAAAAAGGUCUAUGAAGAAGAUGCCUAGGAGCCAGUCAGUAUCUGCUGUGGAAGGCUUAAGAUACAAAUGCACUGAUGAAGGCACUAAAGACCAUCGCAAGUUGUUGACCAAGAGAGUUGCAGAAACACCACUACAUAAGCAGGUCUCCAGGAGACUACUGCACAAGCAGAUCAAGGGCCGGUCUUCUGAUUCAGGCUGUGACACUGGUGUUGUAGAAGAAUCUCCAGAGAAGGCCAUCAAUGAAGCAGGUUUGAGGAGAAGCCCACGCAUCAAACAGCUGUCUUUGACUAGGACCUGCUCUGGAGUUUUCUAUUCCACUACAGAGCCCAGCUCACAAAAUUCACAGCGAGUCUGUUGGGGACAAGAAGGGGAGAGCUGUGCACUGCAGGAUGUAGAAGGCAUUAAGCAGCAUUCAGAGAGCCCCACUGUCCAGACCCCCAAGAGGUUUUUCUUUGGUGCAGUCACUGACACAUGUAGUCUUGCAGCGAAGCAUUCGCCUGGAAGGAGGAGAAGAAAAGAUUCCUUACCCUUGGAGCUGCCUGCCUGUCAGACUCCUAGAAAAACACCUCGGAAAUUUGCCCAGAAGGCCCCAAAUUCUGCCAGUAAGCUGCCAAGGAGAUCACCUCGCUUUCUCCACAAGACACCACAGCAGCUGGAGAAGACUCCUGGCAGAAGCCCAGCUGCUAAGCAGACUGCAGCCAGGUGUUUGGGAAAGUACUUUUCUCAGCCUCCACAAAGGGUCAAGUCACCAUCUACCUCAUCUGAAAGUAAGAGGAUUCACUCGCUGCAAACAACGUCUAAGGAUUGUUCUCCAGCUGAAAGGCUUUCACCUCCUUGCAAAGAGACUAGCUUACAAAUACCAGAACAGGAAGGAUUUGUAGUGCUCAGUGCCUCCUUCCCUCUGACAGGUUCAGAUCCAGCUCCUCCUUCCCCCUCUGCCGUCCAGGAAAGGCAUUUUACAGAACUGCAUACUCCGAGACGUUCCUUGAGAUACUUCUCAAAAUUAGCAUCUCCGGUUGGCACCCGGAGGCAAAUCCUCCCACAGGAAACUCAGGUACAGUCAGAUCCAUUAUCUCAAGCAACUAAAAGUACCCCCAGGAAAGCUGAAGCUCCAGGUUUGAGGUCAUGUGCCAGCCCAGGGAGUGCAGAGACAUCGCCGCUCGCUGCCAGGCUGGAGCCUCCCUUUGCUCCUCCCCUCUGUGAAGGUUCCACGGACACUGUGGCAACCUGCUCUCCUUCCCACCUGCAGCUUAGGGAGCCUGACUGGCAGCUUGGUGCAUCUCAACCGUCUUUUCAAAGAUCUCCAGGUGUUACUGGCACUUCACUCGGGUCCCUGCUUCACACAUCUGAGCAGACCAACUGCAAACCUCAUUCUGGAGGGGAGAACCUCACACGGGCACAUGCAACACCUUCUGAAAGUCAGGACAGUCAGCACCUUAGUGGUGGUGACUCUUCCACAGAGUGCCUUCAGCUUUGUCAGUCCCAAGUUACUGAAAAUACCCCUGAAUUGGAGAAAAAUAAACAGAGGGAUGUAGUGGCUCAAAAGUCUUCUCCAGGAGAGAGCUCAGAAAACUUGGAAAAGCAUUUGUCUCCAAAGGCUUGUGCUGGAGGGCAGGUACAGACACAGAGUGCAGAGACAGAGUGUGAGCAGUUGGUUGAGGAGGGGAACUCCUGUGCAAACACCUGUGAGUCCUCCUUAAGUGGUUCUCAAACACUUAGUGAUGACUUAGAAUCAAAAACUGUGCUGAGAGAAGAACAUACGGGGCUGAAGGCUCUGAGUCCUAAGAGACACUCCAGAUUCACCCUGAAUACUUCGCCUCCUACACCAAAGUCUGCUCCUGCCUAUUCUCUACGCUGCACUGCGGACAGGAGGCAGCGGGAGGCUGCAGCACGGAUGGGAGAUCCUCAGCUUCUAGCCCGCUUCUCUACUCCUAAAAGCCGUUCCAAGCUGCCUUCUGCUAGCCCCCCAACCUACGAAGUUGAACUGGAAAUGCAAGCUUCGGGCCUGCCCAAACUUCGCAUCAAGAAAAUUGGCUCUUGCUCGUCGUUGGAAGUUCAGCCUGAAGCAAGUGCCAGCAAACCCAAAGGAGGAGAAAGCCCCUUUGGUGAUGUAGCUGUGACCUGGUGCAGCAAGCACCCAGGGAAACUGGCAGCUGCCUGUGUCUCACCGUCCUGCUUUCGCUCUUUCCACAGUACCCCUGGGAAAGGUGGGGGGCAGACCUACAUAUGCCAGUCAUACACCCCGACAAGCUGUGCCUCCAAUGCCACCUCCCCGUCCCCCUUAGAAGCAGGAGUUCCCUGGACACCUUCUCCAAAGCAGAUGGGGAAGACAACCCCUGAUGCCAUCAAGGACUGGCCUCGGAGAAAGAGAGCAGCUGGCAGCACUGCAACUGCAGGCUGUGCUCCCAGUGAGAAGAGUGCUGAUGAACAGAGGAGAAUGGCAAUGGGCAGAGAAGGGGAGACAAAGACCUCAGAGCAUUGCAGCAGCAAAGUAGCAAAUACUCUUGGAGAAUUUGAACUGGAAGGGAUUUACAGGCUCCAGGAUCAGGCAUCUCCCAGUGACUCUGACCCCGGGGCUGAUGAGGACUCAGCCAGGGGAACUUUUGGCCUGAAGUCUCGGAAGCGCGUCUUUACGUAUCUGUCGCCAGCAAAGGAGGAGAAGCGUGAUGCCAAGAGAUCUUGCACUGACAGGUGCAACUUGGGCCUCACUGGCCAUUCUGCAGAUGAAGGCAACAGAAACAAAUGGAGGACGGACUCUGGGCCUCCUGAGAAACCAGGAGCAUGUGCACUCAUAACUCCUGAGCAUCACAGCUGUGUAGGGGAUGACGAGGUCUUCCUUUUGUCAGGCUCGACGCCCCCGGUGAAGCGUGCGCUCUCCGCCAGCAGCCUCCUGGCACUCACCCAGUCCCCACUGCUGUGCCCGGGACACACACCACCAUCUCGGAGGAGGGGUCUUCAAGGAGAGGAAUCGGAGGCCUUCCAGAUCCCUGCCCCCCAGGAGCUGUCUCCCUUCCACAUGAUGGCUUCCAGGAAGCGGCCACUUAGCAGGACUUACUCACGGAAAAAGCUGCUCAGCUGAAGUUUAGAGCUGGAAACUUUGCAUCACUCCAGCUGUACAACAUCCUUUUUAACAAGGACCCUAUAUCUGGUGCUGGAUUGGAGCUGUCUCGUGUUGGUGAGAGACUGGUUGCAAGCAUGUGACAGGGGAAAUAAGAACCACUCUAAAAGGGCUUUUUUUAACCUCAAUUGCAGCAUCUCCCUGCCCAUUGGAAGCUCAUCUCGGUCUGUCUGGCACUUCCUCUGCAUGUGGUAGCCGAGUUCUGCAGUGAAGGCUCAAUUCUGCUGAGCAAACAGGGAGAUUUGUCACUUUUCUACAGCUUUCUUGUAAAAUAAACUGAUGUGAAUCUUCAUUUUGUUACUUAAAUCAGAAACCUGCCUUUAGCCCACGUGCUGGGUGAGGGACUGAGGCUGCAGGAAGAAAGAUGCUGGAGGUGCAUACGUACAAAACAAACUGCAGGCUCCUCCUGUGUUCUGAUACUAACAGAAUUCCUGUUUGUUGCAUCCAGUUUGCCACAGCUUUGUGGGGAAAUAACAAACGAAUUAACUCGCAAUGGACUCGGAAAUACUUGACAAGGGAAGGAGUCUGAUUCUCCCUCUUUGUAGAUCAUGAAUGAGUUGGUGUGUCUGCCCCUGGCCACUGAUGGGUAAGGGGAUGCUGAUGGAGGAACUUUGCUGUCCUUUUCUGCAGCCUUGCAGUGAGACAGGACUGGCUGGGGAAGCUUCCUCCAGAGGAUAAGGGACAGAGUAUCUGGGAAAUCACCCCACUGUGCACAGGAAGCAGAGACUUCACUCUGUGAAGUGAGUGUGAGGUCAUCCUAAAACCAGGCACAGCCCUGCUGAGGUUUGUUACAGGGCUGGGAGGGGAUGGAGAGAAUGGAAUGGAAUUUGUUGCAGGAAUGAUGACUGUUCCCCUCUUAAGAGGUGGGGAAGAGUGCCAUUACCAGGGAUGUCUUGAUGCUGGAAGAAGUGUAUCUGCUUCAAGGACAUGGAUAAAUACACAAGCAUGGAGCUUCCAACACUACUACUUACAUCCAAAUAGGAUGGAUUCUUUUCCCUACUGAAGAUCUUUAACAGCAGCAAAUAAAAGUCUUAAAUCUUGAGCAGCUCAGACAGAGCCCUCAGUAAUGCCCCCCAUCAACCCCACACCUCACCAGCACAUUCAGGUAUGGAAAAGGAAGAUCAGAAGGUGGUUCCCACUUCAGAUACUGGCUUUUAACUUGGGUCCUGGUACCCCACAAAUGGGGGCUGUGACAGGUGUGCUCUUUGUGAUUUCAGGCUGAAGCUGGGGCUUGCUUUUUGGGGUCAGGUACCCAAGCUACUGUUUUCACUCUUAAAGCAGCUACCUGGACUUUCAUUUCUUGCCCUAAACUUAAAUUCCCUUUUCCAGAGGUGGAUGGUAUCAAUAUUAAACUGCAGAACUGUAUUUCCUCUCCCUUACACCCAGACUGGACGUUUUCCCAAGAAUCCAAAACCAGCUUACAGGCUCCACCAGAAAAACAGAACCAGUUCCUUUUAUCCUGGAUGCUUCAGACAGUCCUGCUGCUGGGCUGGAGAUGCUUUUCCUGCAGCAACUCCAGGGAAGAAGCCUACUUGAAACAUUAAGAAAACACUGUGCCAGCAGCCGAGUUCCCAGGCAGUGACAUUUAAACAGAACCAGUGCAGUACUGGACAGUGACAAG